rnacentral:tRNA from 1 species
AGUGUAGCUUAGUUGGUUAAAGCUGUUGACUUUUAAUCAGAGGAUCGCAGGUUCGAAUCCUGCCACU